AUUGAACGCUGGCGGCAUGCCUUACACAUGCAAGUCGAACGGUAACGGGCCUUCGGGUGCCGACGAGUGGCGAACGGGUGAGUAAUACAUCGGAACGUGCCCGAUCGUGGGGGAUAGCGAGGCGAAAGCUUUGCUAAUACCGCAUACGAUCUACGGAUGAAAGCAGGGGACCGCAAGGCCUUGCGCGGACGGAGCGGCCGAUGGCAGAUUAGGUAGUUGGUGGGAUAAAAGCUUACCAAGCCGACGAUCUGUAGCUGGUCUGAGAGGAUGAUCAGCCACACUGGGACUGAGACACGGCCCAGACUCCUACGGGAGGCAGCAGUGGGGAAUUUUGGACAAUGGGCGCAAGCCUGAUCCAGCCAUGCCGCGUGCAGGAUGAAGGCCUUCGGGUUGUAAACUGCUUUUGUACGGAACGAAAAGCCUUCUUUUAAUACAGGAGGGUCAUGACGGUACCGUAAGAAUAAGCACCGGCUAACUACGUG
rnacentral:rRNA from 1 species